rnacentral:lncRNA from 1 species
UGUGAGAGGAUGCGAAGGGUAGUCACUAAGACCUGGGAAAGUGAGUGGUCACAGUGAGCGGGAGGCCAUGACUCUUGAACACGGCAAGUUCAGUGGUUGCAGCACAGACAGACAAAGAGAAGAAUAGAAGAGAAGAGAAGAGAAGGCAAGGCAAGGCAGGGCUUUUGUAGGUCUGUAUCCCAAGCUGUAUUCCAGAGUGCAAUCUCUUCGCGUCCGACGUUGCAUGCAGCAUAGCAUCUGCGUGUAGGCCAUCAUCGUUGGGUAUGAACCCAUUUGGAACAUCGUGACUACAAUGGAUCCAUGGCCAAGCUAUUCAUCCCAUCUGUGGGAUCGCAACCCCGCGUCGUCUUUCUUGCUCCUUGGAGGCCCCUGGUAUCCGAUGACUAAUCGGAAUGGGACUCUGAAUCCCCUCAUGAGACUCCACGUCGUCAUCGUAUUCAGUUCAUGGCC